CUGUCUCAACGAGAGACUCGGUGAAAUUAUAUUGUCCGUGAAGAUGCGGACUACCCGCGACAGGACGGAAAGACCCCAUGGAGCUUUACUGUAGCUUGAUAUUGAGUGUUUGUACAGCUUGUACAGGAUAGGUAGGAGCCAUAGAAACCGGAACGCUAGUUUCGGUGGAGGCGUUGGUGGGAUACUACCCUCGCUGUAUGACCACUCUAACCCGCACCACUAAUCGUGGUGGGAGACAGUGUCAGGUGGGCAGUUUGACUGGGGCGGUCGCCUCCUAAAAAGUAACGGAGGCGCCCAAAGGUUCCCUCAGAAUGGUUGGAAAUCAUUCGCAGAGUGUAAAGGCACAAGGGAGCUUGACUGCGAGACAGACAGGUCGAGCAGGGACGAAAGUCGGGCUUAGUGAUCCGGUGGUACCGUAUGGAAGGGCCAUCGCUCAACGGAUAAAAGCUACCCUGGGGAUAACAGGCUUAUCUCCCCCAAGAGUCCACAUCGACGGGGAGGUUUGGCACCUCGAUGUCGGCUCAUCGCAUCCUGGGGCUGUAGUCGGUCCCAAGGGUUGGGCUGUUCGCCCAUUAAAGCGGUACGCGAGCUGGGUUCAGAACGUCGUGAGACAGUUCGGUCCCUAUCCGUCGCGGGCGUAGGAAAUUUGAGAGGACCUGUCCUUAGUACGAGAGGACCGGGAUGGACAUACCUCUGGUGUACCAGUUGUGCCGCCAGGCGCAUCGCUGGGUAGCUACGUAUGGAUGUGAUAAACGCUGAAAGCAUCUAAGUGUGAAACACACCUCGAGAUGAGAUUUCCCAUUCCUUUAUGGAAGUAAGACCCCUGAAAGAUGAUCAGGUAGAUAGGUUAGAAGUGGCAGUGCGGUGACGCAUGAAGCGGACUAAUACUAAUCGGUCGAGGACUUAACCAAG
rnacentral:rRNA from 2 species